UGUCAUUCUUUCAGUUGUUGUGCAGAGAAAAGCAGCUUUAUAUUCAGCUAAAAUCAUCACAUUUACUGCAUUAAUUUUCAGUGUGUGUUCAUCCAUUAGAAGUCGGGGCAGAAGAUGCAGAUGUGCUGGUAAUGUUGGCGCACCAUAGCUCAAGCACCAAACACCCACUUUUCUUCACGACAUUGAAGGGCUCUUAUGAUGUCAGGAGGAUUCGAGAAGCUCUCUCUGAAAAACAGAGACGCUACCUGGUCUUUUGUCACGUUUUCACUGGGUGUGAUACAGUCUCUGCUAUCGCUGGCCAUGGGAAAACCACUCUAACAGGUUUUGUGCAGGGGACAUAGAUGAACUUAUGGACAUCUUCCUGGACAUACGCGCUACCAAGGAUGCAGUGAUUCAGGCUGGUACUGCGAUCUUCCACUACAUCUACCAUGGACCAGGUAGUAAUCUGGGAGAAGUUCGAUACAACAUCUUCUCACGUAAGGCAGCCGCUGGGCUGAUCAAACCGGAGACUCUACCUCCAACAGAGGGUGCAGCAGCACAGCAUUCACUCCGUGCCUACCAACAGACUCGGGACUGGUUCCUUCUACAGAGCAUGUCUCUGGACCCCACUGACUAUGGAUGGACAAUAAGUGUUCAUGGUUAUGAGCCACUUUUAACUCUAGACCCCAUGGCUCCUGAAGAGCUACUCCAAUUCACAAGCUGGAAUUGCCAUGGAGAUUGCAGUAGCCGGCGAUGCAGCUGCAAAAAGAAUAGCGUCAAGUACAUCUCAGCUUGUGGAGUCUGUCAAGGCAUUACCUGUAAGAAUGCUAUUCAUGAUGAUGGCAUUUUAUGAUGAAUACUCAGAGGCAGACAUUAACUUAUAAAGCAUUCUACUAGGGGGAUCACUGUUUGCUCUGACUAAUGUGAAAAUAAUUGUAAUAAAUGCUACUUUAUGUAAAUGCGAUAAGGGUGUGGAAGAUUUUCCACUAAGGAAUAGUUGUAGUGAAAAACAAAUGCUAUAAAUGAACUCAGGACCAUAAAAAACACUAGUUUGACCCCUCACAAGUUACUUAGGGCCAAAUUAAGCAUUUUCAAAUUUUCAAAAAUUGGUUAUUGGUAACCCGACUUUGUGCAGUUUUUUAUGAGGUUUCCCCCAGGACUUGAAUUUCAACUUUUUAGGACAAGUUAUUAGACACCUUUAGAAACCCAUUGGUGAAGAGAUUUAUUGGUAAAGAUUUAGUUCCCAGAUUUUCAGAUGCUUCCCUUACUAUAAUGAAAAACUCCUGAUAAAUACAAGGGCUUGUCCGGGAAGUGAUCUCGAGUCCUCUCACACCCUAAGCGAGAAUCGUACGACUAGACCAACUAG